GCUUCUUUAGUACAUCGGUAGUACGCGGCCAUGGUAAGGCUGAAAGGCUGGUUCGACCCCGGCAAGAAGCACCA
rnacentral:tRNA from 1 species